GACGGAGGAUGCAAGUGUUAUCCGGAAUCACUGGGCGUAAAGCGUCUGUAGGUGGUUCAAUUAGUCAACUGUUAAAUCUUGAGGCUCAACUUCAAAAUCGCAGUCGAAACUAUUGGACUCGAGUAUAGUAGGGGUAAAGGGAAUUUCCAGUGGAGCGGUGAAAUGCGUAGAGAUUGGAAAGAACACCAAUGGCGAAAGCACUUUACUGGGCUAUUACUGACACUGAGAGACGAAAGCUAGGGGAGCGAAUGGG
rnacentral:rRNA from 1 species